GUGUGACAGAUAUCAUGCACAAAAUUAGUAUGUGAUUCAUGUUUUUAUCUUAUAGUCACCAUAUACUCACAAUAUUCUGGGUAGUGAAUCAGAGCUUCAGGCAGCCUGGUGUCAGAGUCUACACUUUUCAAGUUGGCAGCUCUGACAGAGUAAAGAAGAGUUUCUCAAAAUAGAGACUCCUGAACAAGAGGCCGACUUAGUGGAGCCUUAGGAAAAGAAGCUGGAAUGGAAUUAGAAGGUUUGCUAUAUGAAUGUAAAACAGUAUGUCUCAAAACCUAAGGCAGAAGAGUGAGGGCAUGGGUGAGAGGAGUAUAUCACAUUGCAAAGCCUGGAGAUGGUAUCAAGGCAAGCUUUGUACACGUGAAGAACCCUCUAGUGUUGAGAACUCAGGACACAAACUAAAGGCAGAGCACAAGGUGACUAGGGUGUGGCUCUCAGAGAGAACUUCACGGGGCAAUGUGCCAGCUCUUAAACUGUUCUUUAUAAUUCACCUUGAAAUCUUAAUUUGGCAUCAAAAUCUCUUUCCAGAGAUUUUUCAUCAAUCUUUUCUUUUCUCAUGUCAAGACAGACUGAGGCUAUUAAUCUCUCCCAGACACUGUGAUGUUUGACACAUAUUGUAUUACUAGGAUAAAUGGAAUUAUUAAUAGAAAUUCCAGGGAACCUGAAGGCUCCUGGGAAGCAUAUUUAAAAUGGAGGAGACAGGAUUAUUUUAUUUUCUGGGAAAGCUUUUAACAAAGGUACAGGGAGUACUGGGCUCACAACUUUGGCUGGGUCUGGUGCCGCACAUGGUGGAUUUGUUGUGUGUUGGCAUGUGAGUAACACUUGUUUGUUGCCAAUUUGGGUUGGAUCUUAUAUGCCCGAAGGCAGUUUCAUAUGCUCACACUACUGUUUUGGUUAGGGAGUGCGAUGGUGUUUAACUAUCAAAUUGACACAACUUAGAAUCACUUGAGUAGAGAAUCUCCAUGUGGGAUGGCCUGUGGGCAUAUGAGUGAUGACGGAGUGUUGUUUGGACUAUUUUAAUGGAUCUAUACCUACUUCCUAUCCAAAGAUGACAAAACAUGUAUGAAAGAGGGGCUAUAUUCAUCUUUGAUGUGUUCCUGGUACAGCAUCAGAUCCAUCCCCCUCCCCUUUGCGCUCACUCCACCCCUCUAUUUCUUGGUCUUUGGUUUUUCUUAUGCUUCUCCCUUACAUAUAAUACAGCAGCUGUCAUCUCUAAAAGGACGUGGUCAGAUUCUUCUAAAGAACUUUAUUCACUGUGAGAUGUUCCUAUAGUGUGCCUUACCCACUUUCUUUAAUCUUGUCCUUUCAAUUAAGUUUUGACUGAGUCUUCUACACCUGGGUUAUGUCCCCCACUUUCCCACAGAGUUCGUUCUGAUGAACAAAUUGCCUAUAUUUCUCAGGCGUGAGUGCAUUCAAGGAGUUUCAAGGGCAGUCAGUUCAUAGUUUCAUAAUAAGCUCUUCAUAUGUGAUCUGGGAAUGUUUUUGAACAGAAAAUCCUACAUUAUAACUUUUAGCAAGUUGAACCCACAUUUGGAAUAUUUGACUUUCUGGCAAAAAUCAUCUCCUUUGAUUUCUCCCAAGAAGAAGUACGGAGGCAAUGGUACAAUCUCUUCACAGUGGGCUUCUCUUUCUGACACUGCCUUUUCACUCAACCAACACAAGGAAAGUAGACAUAUCUGAAAAUGAAAUGCGGUCAUCAUCUCUCGGGCUGCACUGACUUCGAUUGAAAGCAGAAAACGUUGCCCGUGAUAAAGAAGUCAUGGCAUGAUAUAUCCUUUAUUUAAAAUGGGUCGGGAUUAAUUUAUUCUAAUAUUUGGCUGGGCUUACGAACUUCCGUCUUCUGUUUUGGGACAACCCAUGUUUACAGCCCACCCAUUAUCUGUAUAGGAAAUAGGUCAAACAGCAUUUGAGAAAGUGUUUUAAUGCAGAUUUAAACUGAUUUGUGACCAUUUUCUACUGUCUUUAUUUUUUAAAAAUUACUUUUUUUGCUAAUUCCUUGAGAAUUCAUACAAUGUGUGUUGAUCAUAUUUCCCUAAGACCUUCCAGAUCUAUCCAUCCUUAACCAACUUUGUGUCUCCCACCUCUCUCUCUAAGUCAGCUUGUGUUGUAUUCUUGAUGUAUCAGAAAUCAUCAAUCAAUAAUUUUAAAAAAAGAUCAUCCUUUACCAGGAGCUAUCAAACGUCAAUAUCUCCUCAAGUUAAGGCUAGGCCUGCAUGCACACUAUGCAGGAAUAGUCGUCUGGCUUAAGCUUGGGCAGGACUUGCAAGUGAUGUCAUAACCACUGUGCACAUAUCUACAUGUGUCCAGUUGUGUUGGGAAAACACGGAUACUGUCUUUCUUCAUUCAUCUUUCCUGCAGUCAAGUUUUAUAGCCUUGCAUCCUGUUUCCAGAGUUUUGGUCUCCAUGGAGUGAUCAGGUGCCUGCCAAUGAGUGGCAGCAUGUGGCCAUGCUGUUCCCUCCCAUGGAGACCUGGAGUCACCUCUGUCCCAGCAGGACUUUAAUAUGUUGCCUGGGAAAAUGAAGCAGAGAAUGCUGUCAGGUGUGGAGCUUGGAACUGAAAAGUCCUUUUUCAUUCUCCCUGAAAAUCAUAAACUCAUUCUCCACUUCUUGAAGCUGCCUCAGCCCUCAGAAAGCACCUACAAUUCUGGAACUCUGCUAGACCUCUGAUGCUGGUUUAUCGUUGCGGGGGCCGUCUGAAAAGAUCCUGCAUGAUGAUCUUCCCAGAUGCUUCAGCUACACAGGAAAGUAGAUGAAUCACUUCACUAACAAGGGUAUUUUCUUAACAGCAUGUAUUGAAGAGGAAGGCAGGGGAGGGAGACAGCAAUGAAAAAAGAAACCUGAUUGCUUCUGUUUGAAAUAACUAUCUGAUUAAAACAACUUCAACAAUAACCAGACAAGCAAAGAGGAAAAUAUUCUCUGUCACCAAAAAGAGGAAAAAAACACACACAACAAUUUUCACUUUGGAUGGACCAUUUCCUUUGAAAUGAAAAGAAAAAAUGAAGCAGUUACACCAUGGGUGUCCCUAGUAUAAGAUGUAUCCAACCUAUAACUUCUGAUUACUAGGAAAUUCACAGAAAGUAAAUUCAGAUAGGAUUAAGGAAGCCUCCAGGGACUAACAAGUGGGAGAAUAUUUAUCUGUUUGUACCAAAUAGUUGACUGAAUAAUGAAUAACUAUUAGCUUAAAUUGCAAGAAACACAGCCAUUUAACUGUGAUCUAACAUUUACAUUUCCUUCUUUUCUCUUUCUCAAUUGGUGUCUUUCAGAGCAUCGGGGAGAGCAUCUCACAGUGAAGAUGGUGAAGAUCGUUCUCACUGAAUAGAAGCAUUACUUUCUAGAAGGCUUCUGAUCCUUUUUUUUUUUUUUUUGCUCUCUGAAACAGCACAUGAUAGGACAUAGAUCCACAUGAAGUUACAAUAUGUGAGAACAUGAAGAACCACAAACACAAGAGAAAAUGCAUGUUUAUCUUGGGAUAUUUGUGCCUCCCAUCAUAACACACAGUCACCUCUUUUAGGUUCCAGAGCCCCACAGACCCCAAAUAUGAUUCUCAAAGCCCCUUACAUAAAAUGGCAUGGUAUAUGCUAACAGCAUAAAACCAUAUACAUCCUCCUACUUAUUUUAGGUUCUCUCUGUAUUAAUUACAAUACCUGGUACAAUAUAAAUGCUACAGAAAUGUUUUACUGUAUUGUUUAGGAAAUAAAGACACAUGCAGUAAUUUCUAUCUUCCAGCCCAACCUUGAUGGGACUCAUGUACACUUGCCUUAUGUAUGCAGAGGGCUAAAUGAAAAACAACUUGAAAUAAAACACUAGAUUCCAAGUCAGACCCAUUUUGUCUGGUCCCUAGAUUUUCUGUGGUAGAGGUUCACUUUCUAAUCACUGGUUAAUAACACUAUCCCCUCAACUACGCCCUUUGGUAAUAGACAUAUUACUAUUAAGGCAUACCUAUGCAUAUCAGCUGAUAAGUUAAAUUUAUAUUUAUAUUUAAUGUAAACAUCCUCAUUGGAGACUAAAUCUGUGGCCAGAAAGCCAUGUUCAACUUUAGAUAAUAAUUUUCUCUUACAAUAGGAUAUAUGACAAAGUCCUUCUGAAAUUGUCAUACAAAGAAGAAAGGAACAAGGUGGGACACAUAAUUGUGGAAAGACCAGAAAUAUGAUAUUGGAAAGACUGUUCUUCUGUGGAGGUGAGGAGAAAAGAGAAGAAAAGAAAAUAAUACCUUGAAACAGGUGAUGGGUCCUGAAGCAUCAUAUUCUGUUCCCUGAUUCUGGGAAAGGUAGGUAUGGAGAGCCCACCAGGAGAGACACCAUGUAG